AGCAGCCGCCACGGGAAUACAGAGGGUGCAAGCGUUAAUCGGAUUUACUGGGCGUAAAGGGCGCGUAGGUGGUUAUUUAAGUGAGAUGUGAAAGCCCCGGGCUUAACCUGGGAACUGCAUCUUAUACUGGGUAACUGGAGUGCAGUAGAGGGUAGUGGAAUUUCCGGUGUAGCGGUGAAAUGCGUAGAUAUCGGAAGGAACACCAGUGGCGAAGGCGGCUACCUGGACUGAGACUGACACUGAGGCGCGAGAGCGUGGGGAGCAAACAGGAUUAGAUACCCCUGUAGUCCCUGUCUCUUAUAC
rnacentral:rRNA from 1 species